AGCCUCGAUCCCAGGCCGAGUUUUCGCUUUUAUAACGGUUAGGCGAACAACUGGGCCUGGUACUAGUUGUCUGCGCAUGCGUCAAUCGUUCGUCAGAUUCUGACGAAUGGAUAUUCUCGUUCACUUUCGUGACAUUUAUAUUCGUGUACUAUCGUGUACUAGAAGUCAGUUCCCGUUUUAUCAUUAUUGGAAUCGAUUGGAAUGGCUCUUAGCUGAAGCUUCUCUCUUCUCUGAAGCUUAUUCUGAAGACUGAACAACAAGGGAAGAGGUAUAAAGCUUUGUCAAGCUUGUUAAGGUCAGAUAUUUUUGUGUGGGCCCUAUGGCCGGCUAUGCUAUCAAGUCUUGUUCAUGUUUGGCAAGAAUGUAGGUAGACUAUAGUUUCAUCAUUAAUAUGGUGGAUCAAGUGAAGAGUGUGAGCUAGAGAACUUGGUGCUGCCAUCAUCAGCUCGUCGACAAUGACACUAUAACCGAGAAAUUUAAUAUGUAUAGAUCUACACGUAUUUAAAAUGUCUACUUCUCUGUACAGGAGCAAUGGCUAAUAUCCAGCUAUCCCAACAGUGCUCCUCUUGGCUAUACUAACGGACGAGACUGGACAGUUUGAGACACAGGACUGGAGUAUGACCUGCUCAUUCGAGCGUUGCUGGGUAGCUCAGAGACAUCAAGAGAAUCUACGUUUUCUCAAGCAAUGAGUUACGAGUUGGGGCCUAGAAUCAGAGAAGUCCAGCAGCCUGCUAAAUCUUUUUGAAACGUAAUUUGAAGGCAUUCAAUCAUCCUGAAGUUGCCCUGGGUCACUGUAAUUGUGCUGCAGCACAACUGGCAACUCCCCAGGCCUUUGUGAAGCAGCUCCCUAUGUGCAUCUUUUGUGUACUCACUCUGUGCAUUUUCUGUGUACAAAUUUCUAUUAUUGAUUUAUUAAAUAUUUUUGCCGA